UAGAGUUUGAUCCUGGCUCAGAUUGAACGCUGGCGGCAGGCCUAACACAUGCAAGUCGAGCGGAUGAAGAGAGCUUGCUCUCUGAUUCAGCGGCGGACGGGUGAGUAAUGCCUAGGAAUCUGCCUGGUAGUGGGGGACAACGUCUCGAAAGGGACGCUAAUACCGCAUACGUCCUACGGGAGAAAGCAGGGGACCUUCGGGCCUUGCGCUAUCAGAUGAGCCUAGGUCGGAUUAGCUAGUUGGUGAGGUAAUGGCUCACCAAGGCGACGAUCCGUAACUGGUCUGAGAGGAUGAUCAGUCACACUGGAACUGAGACACGGUCCAGACUCCUACGGGAGGCAGCAGUGGGGAAUAUUGGACAAUGGGCGAAAGCCUGAUCCAGCCAUGCCGCGUGUGUGAAGAAGGUCUUCGGAUUGUAAAGCACUUUAAGUUGGGAGGAAGGGCAGUAAAUUAAUACUUUGCUGUUUUGACGUUACCGACAGAAUAAGCACCGGCUAACUCUGUGCCAGCAGCCGCGGUAAUACAGAGGGUGCAAGCGUUAAUCGGAAUUACUGGGCGUAAAGCGCGCGUAGGUGGUUUGUUAAGUUGGAUGUGAAAUCCCCGGGCUCAACCUGGGAACUGCAUUCAAAACUGACAAGCUAGAGUAUGGUAGAGGGUGGUGGAAUUUCCUGUGUAGCGGUGAAAUGCGUAGAUAUAGGAAGGAACACCAGUGGCGAAGGCGACCACCGGACGAUACGACACGAGGGCGAAAGCUUGAAGCAACUU
rnacentral:rRNA from 1 species